GGCGGCGUAGCCAAGUGGUAAGGCAAGGGCCUGCAAAGCCCCUAUCCCCGGUUCGAUUCCGGGCGUCGCCUCCA
rnacentral:tRNA from 1 species